AUUGAACGCUGGCGGCAGGCCUAACACAUGCAAGUCGAACGGUAACAGGAAGCAGCUUGCUGCUUUGCUGACGAGUGGCGGACGGGUGAGUAAUGUCUGGGAAACUGCCCGAUGGAGGGGGAUAACUACUGGAAACGGUAGCUAAUACCGCAUAACGUCGCAAGACCAAAGAGGGGGACCUUAGGUCCUCUUGCCAUCGGAUGUGCCCAGAUGGGUUUAGAUAGUAGGUGGGGUAACGGCUCACCUAGGCGACGAUCCCUAGCGGGUCUGAGAGGAUGACCGGCCACACUGGAACUGAGACACGGUCCAGACUCCUACGGGAGGCAGCAGUGGGGAAUAUUGCACAAUGGGCGCAAGCCUGAUGCAGCCAUGCCGCGUGUAUGAAGAAGGCCUUCGGGUUGUAAAGUACUUUCAGCGGGGAGGAAGGGAGUAAGGUUAAUACCUUUGCUCAUUGACGUUACCCGCAGAAGAAGCACCGGCUAACUCCGUG
rnacentral:rRNA from 1 species